rnacentral:rRNA from 1 species
AUGAACUAUAAAACCAAAUUUGGUCUUGUUGCUUGUUCCUCAGGUGAACCUAACACGGUUGAAGAAGCCCUUGGAGAUCCCCGGUGGAAGAAAGCCAUGGAAGAAGAAUACAUGGCACUACAAAAAAACAGAACAUGGCAUUUGGUUCCCCCACGACGAGGUAAAAACAUAAUUGAUUGCAAGUGGGUUUUCAGAAUUAAAAAGAAAUCUGACGGAACCAUAGACCGCUAUAAAGCUAAACUCGUUGCAAAAGGAUUCAAACAACGAUAUGGUAUAGAUUAUGAGGACACUUUUAGUCAUGUGGUUAAGGCUGCUACUAUUCGGCUUGUGUUGUCUAUUGCUGUUUUCAGGGGAUGGUGCCUUAGACAGCUAGAUGUACAGAACGCGUUUUUUCAUGGUGUUCUGGAAGAGGAAGUGUAUAUGAGACAACCUCCUGGGUUUGUAAACAAAAACUCACCAUAUCAUGUGUGCAAAUUUGAUAAAGCUUUAUAUGGACUCAAGCAGGCCCCUAGAGCAUGGUACUCACGCUUAAGUCAGAAGCUGCAGGCACUUGGUUUUGUUUCUUCCAAGUCUGACACGUCACUGUUUAUUUACAAUAAGUCUAAUACAUCCAUAUUUGUACUCAUAUAUGUUGAUGAUAUUAUUGUUAUAAACUCAUCUGACAAGGCAGUGACAGGAUUAUUGAAAGACUUGAGUGCUGAGUUUGCCCUCAAGGAUUUGGGAGAUUUGCAUUUCUUCUUAGGGAUUGAAGUCAAGAAACAUGAUGAUGGUCUUCAUCUCUCUCAGGAAAAUUAUGCUACUGAUCUGGUGAGAAGAGCCGGCCUUCAAGGAUGUAAGCCCUCACCAACUCCUUUAUCCAGCUCAGAAAAAUUGCCUCUCACAGAAGGAGAUCUUUUGAACCAAGUUGAUAGUACAAAUUACAUAAGCUUAGUAGGAGCACUACAGUACUUGACAUAUACAAGGCCUGAUAUUUCCUUUGCUGUUAACAAAGUAUGCCAGUUUCUCCAUGCACCUACCACAGUUCACUGGACAACUGCAAAACGUAUAGUGAGAUAUGUGAAAGGUACCAUGAAUCUUGGAUUGACCUUCAACAGAUCUUCAUCUACUCUUGUUAGUGCCUUUUCUGAUUCAGACUGGGCAGGAUGUCUGGAUGACAGACGUUCUACUUAUGGGUUUGCAAUAUUCUUUGGACCUAACCUUAUAUUAUGGUGUGCAAAGAAACAGGCUACUGUGUCCAGGUCAAGUACAGAAGCUGAGUACAAGGCACUUGCAGAUGCCACAGUAGAAAUCAUUUGGGUUCAGUCUAUGUUAAAAGAACUUGGACUAAAACCCACACAGGUUCCCUGCUUAUGGCGUGAUAAUCUUGGUUCUACCUAUCUGUCUGCUAACCCUGUGUUCCAUGCAAGAACAAAACACAUUGAGAUCGAUUUUCAUUUUGUCAGAGAACGAGUUGCUAAUCGACAGUUGGAGAUUCGUUUUGUUCACUCUAGAGACCAGGUUGCAGAUGGCUUCACAAAAGCAUUGCCUACAAGGAACUUUAAUGAAUUCAAACGUAAUCUCAAUCUCAUGGAGUUGUGA